rnacentral:tRNA from 1 species
GAGAGUAUAGCUCAGUGGUAGAGUGUGGGCUUAGCAUGAACAAGGUCCUGGGUUCAAUCCCCAGUACCUCCC